UACGUAGGGUCCGAGCGUUGUCCGGAAUUACUGGGCGUAAAGAGCUCGUAGGCGGUUUGUUGCGUCGGCUGUGAAAUCCCGAGGCUCAACCUCGGGUCUGCAGUCGAUACGAGCAAACUAGAGUGUUGCAGGGGAGACUGGAAUUCCUGGUGUAGCGGUGAAAUGCGCAGAUAUCGGGAGGAACACCCGUAGCGAAGGCGGCACUCUGGGCCGGAACUGACGCUGAGGAGCGAAAGCGUGGGGAGCAAACAGG
rnacentral:rRNA from 1 species